rnacentral:rRNA from 1 species
AACGAACGCUGGCGGCAGGCUUAACACAUGCAAGUCGAACGCAUCCUUCGGGGUGAGUGGCAGACGGGUGAGUAACGCGUGGGAACGUGCCCUUCAGUUCGGGAUAACCCAGGGAAACUUGGGCUAAUACCGGAUACGUGCGAGAGCAGAAAGAUUUAUCGCUGAAGGAUCGGCCCGCGUCUGAUUAGCUAGUUGGUGGGGUAAUGGCCCACCAAGGCGACGAUCAGUAGCUGGUCUGAGAGGAUGAUCAGCCACAUUGGGACUGAGACACGGCCCAACCUCCUACGGGACGCAGCAGUGGGGAAUAUUGGAAAAUGGGCGCAAGCCUGAUCCAGCCAUGCCGCGUGAGUGAUGAAGGCCUUAGGGUUGUAAAGCUCUUUCGUCCGGGACGAUAAUGACGGUACCGGAAGAAGAAGCCCCGGCUAACUUCGUGCCAGCAGCCGCGGUAA